CAGCUCUCUUCAGUAUGCCCCGCCUCCCAGGAGCUGAGAAGUGUGUUUUACUGGGCAGACAAUGGCACUCUUGAGAUGUUCAUAGAGGUUGUUGUCUAAUCUAGGCUUGUUUCAUUUCAUCUGCUGACAUAACUCUUACAUAGAACAAGAGAGGAGUGUGCAACACAACACAGGAAAUGCACCCGUUCAUUCUACCAGCAUCCAGGGCGGAGCGCUACUCUCUGGAUGAUGCAAUUGGGGAACACCAGAUGACUAAAGCAUGGUUGCAUAGGGCAGAUGUGAAAACAGAUAAUUAAAAUAACACAGCCAAGUGCUGAAUAAGGUUUGUACUGAUGGCUGAGGGAACACAAAGAGGAUAUAAUUCUUUGCCAGAGGGAGUCAAGAGGCUGAAAAGGAUGGAGAUGAAGGAGGAGUUGGUGCCGCCCAGACACUUGAGAACAGUAGGGCUUAGACAAACUGGGUGAUGCCCACCCACCUUGAAGAGAGUCAUCUGCUCUGCUCUCCCCAUUGACUCAAAUGGUGAUCUCCUCCAGAAGUACCAUCAGAGACACAUCCAAAUAAUUUUGGUAUCUUUAGUGUCUCUCUGGGUAUUCUUCAUCCCAGUCAAAUUGACAAUAAAAUGAACCAUCAUACUAAGAGCGUGGAAACAUCAAAGAGAGCCGCAGUUGAGAGCAAUGGAACCUCAGAGUGGAUACAUUCAUUGACUGGGUCCCUCUUUAAUUUGCACCAGUCUCCAAAGAUUCAUCACAGAAAUCAUUGUGGAAACUAUACCACCAAGAGUUUAUCAUUUGAUUUUUUUUUAUAACUUUUCAACAUCACAUUUGGUUUAUACCUUUCAUUUGGUUGGUUUUUCUGUGUUUUAGAAGCAGGUUGAGUUAAAAUGGAAGAAUGAUGGCUGUGGCAAUGUAUAGUGAUUUCAAUGUACCCAGGAGUCAUGUUGGCAAGUGACAUGAAAAGUAGAUACCUUGCUCUACAAUUAAGCCCAGUACAAGCAAUUUCAUUUCCACAAAACAUCACCACACACAUGAAGUGGAUGUUGUCAGGUUCAAUGUUUUCUUGUUUGCAUUUAACUGGUAAAUAUUUUCCUGAUGGUGUAAUGGAUAUGAGUGUGUGGAAUGUACAGCUCUCUUCUGUGCUUGUAUAUAACACUGUAAUAAAAAAU
rnacentral:lncRNA from 1 species